AGGGGUACAGCUCAGUGGUCGAGCACACACUUGGCACGCAUGAGGUCCUGGGUUCAGUCCCCAGUACCUCCG
rfam:Camelus ferus unplaced genomic scaffold scaffold531, whole genome shotgun sequence.